rnacentral:lncRNA from 1 species
UGCAACCUUAUUAGAAACAUUAGAAAAAUAAAAAAAAAAAUCGCUGACCAAGUACUCCUGCAACCGAAGAAGACGAGUUUCCGCCAUCACCAGUAUCUGCCUUCAAAUCGAACCACAGAUCUUCUUUUCCACUAAAGUGAUCAUAGAGCAGAUCUCUUUGUAGCUCCAAAUGAAACCUUUUUAAAACUUAAUGUGAUAGAUGAUGCAGAAAUAGAUAGCGUUGCAACUCUCCCCAACUCCAUCAAAAAAUUUUAAAAAAUAAAUUAGGCUUAAAAAAAGUAAAACUAAACUGAAAAAUAUGAUAAAAGAAGGAAGACAAACCUCUUAUUCUACGGAUACCUCAUAAUCCACGUCUAAAAGAGUGCU